AGUCACUGACAUUAGAUACCCGUGUAGUCCGAGGGUGUAAACGCUGCAGACUUGGUGUUGGAAUCCUUCGAGGGUAUUCAGUGCCGGAGAGAAGUUGUUAAGUCUGCUACGUUGGGAGUACGUCCGCAAGGAUAGAAACUUAAAGGAAUUGGCGGGGGAGCACCGCAACGGGAGGAGCGUGCGGUUUAAUUGGAUUCAACACCGUAAAACUCACCAGGGAAGACUGUUACAUGAAGGCCGAGAUGAAGACUCUGCUAGAUUUUCAG
rnacentral:rRNA from 1 species